UAGUCAUAUGCUUGUCUCAAAGAUUAAGCCAUGCAUGUCUAAGUAUAAACUUUUUAUAUGGUGAAACUGCGAAUGGCUCAUUAAAUCAGUUAUAGUUUAUUUGAUGGUACCUUUACUCGGAUAACCGUAGUAAUUCUAGAGCUAAUACGUGCGUAAAUCCCGACUUAUGGAAGGGACGUAUUUAUUAGAUAAAAGGCCAGCCGGACUUGUUCCGAACUUAGGCGAAUCAUGAUAACUUCACGAAUCGCACGCCCUUGUGGCGGCGAUGUUUCAUUCAA
rnacentral:rRNA from 1 species